CGUGUCAGCGUGGGUUUCCUCCAGGUGCUCUGAAAUGUUCUCCCCGUGUCGGCGUGGGUUUCCUCCAGGUGCUCUGACAUGUUGUCCCCGUGUCGGCGUGGGUUUCCUCCGGGUGCUCCGACAUGUUGUCCCCGUGUUGGCGUGGGUUUUCUCCGGGUGCUCCGACAUGUUGUCCCCGUGUUGGCGUGGGUUUUCUCCGGGUGCUCUGACAUGUUCUCCCCGUGUCGGCGUGGGUUUCCUCUGAGUUCUCCGACAUGUUCUCCCUGUGUCGGCGUGGGUUUCCUCCAGGUGCUCCGACAUGUUCUCCCUGUGUCGGCGUGGGUUUCCUCCAGGUGCUCCGACAUGUUCUCCCUGUGUCAGCGUGGGUUUCCUCCAGGUGCUCCAACAUGUCCCAACAAACAGACAGAGUUAAUAAUCAGCUUCCUAGUCCCUGUUUUCUGUGACUGAGGCUGCAGGGUUUGUUGAUCCAGCUCAGACAGAGUCAUUUGGACUCUGAGACCGCUGGACUUUGUUUGGUCCUUCAUCAGCUGUUUAAAAUAAACGCUUCAGUGUUUAGAAUAAACAGCUGUUUGGAGAAUAAACACAUCACAGGAAGUGACUCAGUCCUCUCCUGCGUCCAUCUGAACUGUCGAUCAGACAGACUGAGACAAGACGCUGUCCUCAAAGACACCAACCUGAAGACAGCAGCUGACUCAGUUAGACAAACAACGCUCUGAUGUUUCACAGUGACGUUAAUUCAUCCUGAAAAUAUCUGUUGGAUCAGAUAGGUUCUGUAGGGUUAACAUUAUUAUUAUUAUUAUUAUUGAUAUUAUUUACACAUAGAACAGCACCAUAUGUGAGACUAUCUGCUGUGACCCAGUGUUCAUAUUCUAUAUGAACUUGUUAUAUAAAGUUUGAUGAUGUUUCAGUCCUCUUCAUAUGUGUGAUGAUUUUAUUCAUUCAGAUUCCUUUUUUCUUUAAAAUCUAUAGUUUGAUUAAAAACAGAUUUAUUGAUUUUUGGCUCCAGCUGCUCAGCGGGAAACUCUGCUUCAGUGUUCCACCUUUGCUGACUCGCUGUGUGGAAACAAAACCACACCUGCCGUCACCUGGAGACCCACUGACGCUCCAGUCUCUGCUCCUGAUAUGUGGAGCAUCCUCAAAGUCACAGUCCUAUUUUUGUUUGUGGUUCUGCUGCUCGGUGUCGGUAUCACCCUGUGGUCGUGCAGAAGCCACAAAUGGAACAAACUUAAAGGUCUGGAUCAGCUGUGACUGAUGCGGAAAUGAUCACAUUCAGAGUUUGUCUUUGCCAGAGACGGCUGUUGGAUCAGAUCCAGCUCUCAUCACAACCACCAAGUGGGGCAGCAGAACCCAAGUCCAGGUGCUGUCCAGGUGCAGCCCUGUCUGAGGCCAGUCUGAGUCCAGGAUUAGUCCCCGUUCAGUCCAGGUGCUGUCCUGGUGCAGCCCUGUCUGAGGCCAGUCUGAGGCCAGGAUUAGUCCACGUUCAGUCCAGGUGCUGUCCAGGUUCAGUCCAGGUGCUGUCCAGUUACAGUCCAGGUGCUGUCCAGGUUCAGUCGAGGUGCUGUCCAGGUGCAGCCCUGUCUGAGGCCGGUCCGAGUCCAGGAUUAGUCCAGUUUCAGUCCAGGUUCAGUGCAGGAUUAGUACAGGUGUAGUCCAGGUUCAGUCCAGGUGUAGUUAAGAGUUAGUCAAGGUGUAAACCAGAUUUAGGUCAACUGUGGUCCAGGUUAGGUGAGAGGUAGAGUUAGUUGAGGUGUAGCCGAGAGUAAGUCAAAGUGUAGUCCAGAUUUAGUCCGGGAGUAGUUUUGAGUUAGUCGAGGUGUAGUCCAGAUUUAGUCCAGCUGUAGGCCAGGUGUAGUCCAAAGUCAGUCCAGGUGUAGUCCAAAGUCAGUCCAGGUGUAGUUAAGAGUUAGUCCAGGUGUUGUCCAGGUGUAACCAAGAUUUAGUCCAGGUGUAGUCCAGGUGUAACCAAGAUUUAGUCCAGCUGUAGGCCAGGUGUAGUCCAAAGUCAGUCCAGGUGUAGUUAAGAGUUAGUCCAGGUGUAGUCCAGGUGUAACCAAGAUUUAGUCCAGCUGUAGGCCAGGUGUAGUCCAAAGUCAGUCCAGGUGUAGUCCAAAGUCAGUCCAGGUGUAGUCCAAAGUCAGCCCAGGUGUAGUCCAGGUGUAGUCCAUUAUAUACUAAUUUGGUCCCCCUGUCAGCCAAUCAGAUUGAAGAAGAGCUCCUUAUCUGUGUUUAACAGAACAACAUGCUGUGACAUCACUUCCUGUGGGGUACCACAGUUAUUUUCUUUCUUUAAGUGCUGAUGAUGCUCAGUGGACUUGAAGACAGGGUGUCUCCCUCUGCUGGUGGAGUCUGGUACUGCAGCGCUCUGCGGCUCUGUUUACUACAUCCAGUUAAAUAAAAAAACUUUAUUUAAAAUCAGUUUAAUAAAAUGAGGUUUGAAGGCGACCUGAGAGAAAACCAGCAGAGACCUGAUCCUUCAGAGACCUGAUCCUGCAGAGACCUGAUCCUUCAGAGACCUGAUCCUGCAGAGACCUGACUCACUGUCCCCCUGUCUCAGUGUCUCAGAGUCUCACUGUCUCACUGUCUCACUGUCCCCCUGUCUCACUGCCCCCCGUCUCCCUGUCUCAUUGUCCCAGAGUCUCACUGUCUCCGUCUCUCUCACUGUCUCACUGUCCCCCUGUCUCAUUGUUUUGCUGUCUCCCAGCGUCUCUCACUGUCCCAUUGUCUCACUGUCCCCCUGUCUCACUGUUUCGCUGUCUCCCAGCCUCUCUCAUUGUCUCACUGUCCCCCUGCCUCAGUGUCCCAGAGUCUCAUUGUCCCCCAGCCUCUCUCACUGUCUCACUGUCCCCCUGCCUCAGUGUCCCAGAGUCUCACUGUCUCACUGUCCCCCAGCCUCUCUCACUGUCUCACUGUCCCCCAGUCUCUCUCACUGUCUCGCUGUCUCCCAGUGUCUCUCACUGUCUCAUUGUCCCCCUGUCUCAUUGUCUCACUGUCUCCCAGCGUCUCUCACUGUCUCACUGUCCCCCUAUCUCAUUGUCUCCCAGUGUCUCUCACUGUCUCACUGUCCCCCUGUCUCACUGUCUCACUGUCUCAGCAUCUCUCACUGUUGGACAUUAAGGAUUCAGUUUGAGUCAAACUCCAACAACACUGCAGCCUACAUUUCCCAUGAUGCCCCUGACUCCUCCAGAGCCACAGGGGACGUCAGCCUGCAGACUGGGGACCAAAUUUACCUGUUGAAUCAGAGCACAGUUUGUCAUCAGUGGGCUAGCUGUAACCAUGGUAACGUCAGCCGACUGUAACCAUGGUAACGGCAGGUUCUGGGCCCAGGUGUCUGCAUGUUGUUCUGUUACUGAUGUUUCCUUGUUGUCAUGUGACUGUUUGUGAUGCAGCCAAUAAAAACCCGUCUGAGAAACUUUAUCCUUAAAUCUGAAUUCAAACACGAGGUCAUGUGACGCCUGUGUGGUAUGAAACAUGACACCAUGACAGAGUUAACCCCACGUUGGGACCAGACCAGCUGUGAAAGGGUUAAACUGAGACAGCUGGAGGGAGGCGGGGUCUCACACACACACACACACACACACACUCACACACACACCCCUUAUCAGUUGUCACCGCGGCAACGGACAGGAAGCAACACAAACUUCCACACCCAUAAUGUUACCGUGUGUGAUGACAUCAUCAGGGGGAGGAGUUCAGUGAAGAUCACAGAUCAGAGACGUCUGUCGUCACACUGAGCUCAUUUAAUUAAUUUAAUUUAGUGUGAGAGAAAAGUCAAAUACAGAACAACAUUUCACCAAACAACAAAUCAGUCAUAAACACUUUAUUGACCCGUGAUUGGUUAGAGUCGCGCUGACGUUAAGAAGGGAGAAAUAAAAGUGUGUAAAUAUGAAAUGAUAAAACAUAAUGAGCAUCAUGCUGCAGUGUUUCAUGAAUAAUAACAAACAACAACAGAAUCCAAGUAAACAAACAGGACCAAUCACAGACGUGAUGAACAAACAGGUUACCUGUCUGUCACUGAGACAAACACCUGAGCUCAGUCCAACCUGAGGGACAGUGACAGAGUGAGAGGGGUCAGAGGUCAUGUUAACUGUCAGCAGAUUCAUGUGUUCAUCGCUCGGAGCUGAGGCUGCUGAUGAAGUGAUGAAACACACACAUGUUGAAAGACGUGAGGAAACACAGAGUUGAAUCCUCCCACAGCUCACACUCAUCCUCACCUCCUCAUUGAUAUUCACACUGUGACGUAAUGUGGUGAACAUAAAGAGUAAUCUGAUUACUUUAUAUAAAGUAAAUACACACGGUGAGUCUCACUUCAUGUUUCAUUAUUGUCGGACUGAUCCUCGGGUCAGCAACGUGCACGCGCUCCCCAAGUUUCGUCAUGAGCUCUGAUUGGCCGAGAGGAUUCCACCCAGAAGGGAGUGUCUGGUGCGCAUGCGUAGAAGGGGAGGGAGGGGGCGCGUGUUUGUAAAGUUUGGGGGAAGUCGAGACAGAGAGAGAGAGAGAGAGAGAGAGAGAGAGAGAGAGAAAGGUUCAACAAAGUUUACUAAAUACUUUUAGUCUCUGCUGCACAGCUGCCCGACACACCGAGGGACAGACUGAGAGACAGACUGAGGGACACACUGAGAGACAGACUGAGGGACACACUGAGAGACAGGGAGACAGACAGGAGAGGAGAGAGGAGCUCCGAUAUCCAGACGGAGACACCGGGAGGUCGCAGUGCUCCAAGCCGGACCAGGGCGCGCGACCAGCGGCAUGAAGGUGGAGUUCGCCCCGCUGAACAUCCCGCUGCGGAGGAGACUGCAGACCGCCGCGACUCUGCAGUGGGUCUUCUCCUUCCUGGCUCUAGCUCAAUGCUGUCCCUCUGUCUGUCUGUCCCUCAGCUCACUGCUGUCCCUCUGACUGUCUGGCUGUCCCUCUGUCUGUCUGUCUGUCCCUGAGCUCAGUGCUGUCCCUCUGACUGUCUGUCUGUCCCUCUGCUCAGUGCUGUUCCUCUGUCUGUCUGUCUGUCUGUCCCUUAGCUGUCCCUCAGCUCUGUGCUGUCUCCCUCCCGGCACUCUGCCUGUCGGUCCCUCAGCUGUCCCUCUGUCUGUCCCUCAGCUCCAUGCUGUCCCUCUGUCUGUCUUUCUGUCUGUCCCUCAGCUCAGUGCUGUCCCUCUGACUGUCUGUCUGUCCCUCAGCUCAGUGCUGUCCCUCUGUCUGUCCCUCAGCUCAGUGCUGUCCCUCUGUCUGUCCCUCAGCUCCGUGCUGUACCUCUGCCUGUCUGUCCCUCAGUUGUCCCUCUGUCUGUC